ACAGCAGCAGCCGCGGGAAUACGAAGGGGGCUAGCGUUGCUCGGAAUUACUGGGCGUAAAGGGAGCGUAGGCGGAUCGUUAAGUUGGGGGUGAAAGCCCGGGGCUCAACCUCGGAACUGCCUUCAAUACUGGCGAUCUUGAGUAUGAGAGAGGUGUGUGGAACUCCGAGUGUAGAGGUGAAAUUCGUAGAUAUUCGGAAGAACACCAGUGGCGAAGGCGACACACUGGCUCAUUACUGACGCUGAGGCUCGAAAGCGUGGGGAGCAAACAGGAUUAGAUACCCCGGUAGUCCCUGUCUCUUAUAU
rnacentral:rRNA from 1 species